UUCAUCAGCAUCCCCCCGCCAUCCCCUGGCUGUGCGUGCGCUCACGCAAGAAGUGAGUACAGAAUAAGGAGGUGUGAAUUGCUUCUGUCUCUGUGCAAGAACGAUGAAGCAGCGAGGUACCAAUGAGACACCUCCCUCAUACCAACAAGGAAUAAAUGCUUCCAGUUGUGUGGUGUUUCCUGCAAAAUGGACAAGGCUGCUACCUGGUGCUGUCCCGACUCCCAGCACAUUUCAGGUGGCAGGAUAACAUAACCAGGGUGAGAAAAGCUCUCUGAAAACACUACAGCUGCUGAUAAUGGAAACUAUUCUGAUGUGUUAAGAAAAGAAAGUUGCAAAAGCUGGAGUCCACCUGGUCUCCUUGUGAUUCACACAGGCUGAAGAAAGACUGAAGUAUGCAACAUCUACACCAAAACUGAAGUUUUGAACCCAUCUAGAAAACAGUGGAAAGAAGCCUAAUUUCCUACGGGAGGGGCACAGCAAAGAAAGAGGGUUUGUGAUUGUCUGUCCUUCCCUGAAGAACCCGAGGGAUACGGGAUUUGGCACACAGUCAGGGCCUGAGAGGCAGUAACAGCAGAUGGAUCACCUCGGAUGUGUGGCAGUUGCCUUGUCCUUGUUUGCAGUGAGAGCCUUGUGGUGCAAGGAUAGAAUGUUCCUGUCAAUCCAGCAGAUGUUCCAGCGUGUCCUCCAUUUGAUUAGGCCUAGGAACGCUAUUUUCCCCCCACAUCCAUAAAUUACUUAUUCCCAUGAAGCGUGACUUCUGUUUUUUAUCACUUAUGUAAACCGUA